AAGUUGUAAUAAGACUUCCAGAGGUGAAUCUUCGGAAGGAUCAUUAGCGUAAGAGACGAUUAAAUGGCCGGAUGGCCUUACACCAUGUGAACGAGAACGUGUCUGCGGCUGGAAGCGCGGGGAAGCUCCAGCAUGUAUCUCGAAACCGUUGACAAUCUAACAAACCAAUAUAACACACAACUUUUAACAAUGGAUCUCUAAGCUCCU
rnacentral:misc_RNA from 1 species